ncrna:Nicotiana tabacum cultivar TN90 Ntab-TN90_scaffold2778, whole genome shotgun sequence
AUUCCGCUAUGUUGACACUUUCGAACAAUCUCCUUAAACCACUCCCAUGCUUCAAAAAUAGUUUCAGUAUCUUUCUGGUAGAAGUUAUGAAUUUCUUAUCUAACCUU